AGAGUUUGAUCAUGGCUCAGGACGAACGCUGGCGGCGUGCCUAAUACAUGCAAGUCGAGCGAAGUGGAGGAAGCUUGCUUCCAAAGCUUAGCGGCGAACGGGUGAGUAACACGUGGGCAACCUGCCCGAUAGACCGGGAUAACUUGGGGAAACUCAAGCUAAUACCGGAUAGGAUCAUUGACCGCCUGGUUGGUGAUGGAAAGUCUGAACGACACUAUCGGAUGGGCCCGCGGCGCAUUAGCUAGUUGGUGGGGUAACGGCCUACCAAGGCGACGAUGCGUAGCCGACCUGAGAGGGUGACCGGCCACGCUGGGACUGAGACACGGCCCAGACUCCUACGGGAGGCAGCAGUAGGGAAUCUUCCACAAUGGGCGAAAGCCUGAUGGAGCAACGCCGCGUGAGUGAUGAAGGUUUUCGGAUCGUAAAACUCUGUUGUUAGGGAAGAACACCCGGGAGAGGAUCCCGGUUUGACGGUACCUGACGAGAAAGCCCCGGCUAACUACGUGCCAGCAGCCGCGGUAAUACGUAGGGGGCAAGCGUUGUCCGGAAUUAUUGGGCGUAAAGCGCGCGCAGGCGGCUUACUAAGUCUGGUGUGAAAGCCCACGGCUCAACCGUGGAGGGCCAUUGGAAACUGGUAAGCUUGAGUGCAGGAGAGGAGAGCGGAAUUCCUGGUGUAGCGGUGGAAUGCGUAGAUAUCAGGAGGAACACCCGUGGCGAAGGCGGCUCUCUGGCCUGUAACUGACGCUGAGGCGCGAAAGCGUGGGGGAGCAAACAGGAAUUAGAUACCCUGGUAGUCCACGCCGUAAACGAUGAGUGCUAAGUGUCGGGGGUGACCAACCCUCGGUGCUGUCGCUAACGCAAUAAGCACUCCGCCUGGGGAGUACGGCCGCAAGGCUGAACUCAAAUGAAAUUGACGG
rnacentral:rRNA from 1 species